rnacentral:rRNA from 1 species
AGAGUUUGAUCCUGGCUCAGGAUGAACGCUGGCGGCGUGCUUAACACAUGCAAGUCGAACGAAGCACCUUGAUUUGAUUCUUCGGAUGAAGAUCUUGGUGACUGAGUGGCGGACGGGUGAGUAACGCGUGGGUAACCUGCCUCAUACAGGGGGAUAACAGUUAGAAAUGACUGCUAAUACCGCAUAAGACCACAGCACCGCAUGGUGCAGGGGUAAAAACUCCGGUGGUAUGAGAUGGACCCGCGUCUGAUUAGGUAGUUGGUGGGGUAACGGCCUACCAAGCCGACGAUCAGUAGCCGACCUGAGAGGGUGACCGGCCACAUUGGGACUGAGACACGGCCCAAACUCCUACGGGAGGCAGCAGUGGGGAAUAUUGCACAAUGGGGGAAACCCUGAUGCAGCGACGCCGCGUGAGCGAUGAAGUAUUUCGGUAUGUAAAGCUCUAUCAGCAGGGAAGAAAAUGACGGUACCUGACUAAGAAGCACCGGCUAAAUACGUGCCAGCAGCCGCGGUAAUACGUAUGGUGCAAGCGUUAUCCGGAUUUACUGGGUGUAAAGGGAGCGUAGACGGAGUGGCAAGUCUGAUGUGAAAACCCGGGGCUCAACCCCGGGACUGCAUUGGAAACUGUCAAUCUAGAGUACCCGAGAGGUAAGCGGAAUUCCUAGUGUAGCGGUGAAAUGCGUAGAUAUUAGGAGGAACACCAGUGGCGAAGGCGGCUUACUGGACGGUAACUGACGUUGAGGCUCGAAAGCGUGGGGAGCAAACAGGAUUAGAUACCCUGGUAGUCCACGCCGUAAACGAUGACUACUAGGUGUUGGGCAGCAAAGCUGUUCGGUGCCGCAGCAAACGCAAUAAGUAGUCCACCUGGGGAGUACGUUCGCAAG